UACGUAGGCAGCGAGCGUUUGUUCGGAGUUACUGGGCGUAAAGGGUGUGUAGGCGGUUGUUUAAGUUUGGUGUGAAAUCUCCCGCUCAACUGGGAGGGUGCGCCGAAUACUGAAUGACUUGGAGUGCGGGAGAGGAGAGUGGAAUUCCUGGUGUAGCGGUGAAAUGCGUAGAUAUCAGGAGGAACACCGGUGGUGUAGACGGCUCUCUGGACCGUAACUGACGCUGAGACACGAAAGCGUGGGUAGCAAACAGG
rnacentral:rRNA from 1 species